GAUGAACGCUGGCGGCGUGCCUAAUACAUGCAAGUCGAGCGAACAGACGAGGAGCUUGCUCCUCUGACGUUAGCGGCGGACGGGUGAGUAACACGUGGAUAACCUACCUAUAAGACUGGGAUAACUUCGGGAAACCGGCGCUAAUACCGGAUAAUAUAUUGAACCGCAUGGUUCAAUAGUGAAAGACGGUUUUGCUGUCAGUUAUAGAUGGAUCCGCGCCGCAUUAGCUAGUUGGUAAGGUAAUGGCUUACCAAGGCAACGAUGCGUAGCCGGCCUGAGAGGCUGACCGGCCACAUUGGGCCUGCGAUACGGCCCAGACUCGUACGGGAGGCAGCAGUGGGGAAUAUUGCACAAUGGGCGGAAGCCUGAUGCAGCAACGCCGCGUGCGGGAUGACGGCCUUCGGGUUGUAAACCGCUUUCGCCUGUGACGAAGCGUGAGUGACGGUAAUGGGUAAAGAAGCACCGGCUAACUACGUG
rnacentral:rRNA from 1 species